GGGUUGUGAGGUUAAGCGACUAAGCGUACACGGUGGAUGCCCUGGCAGUCAGAGGCGAUGAAGGACGUGCUAAUCUGCGAUAAGCGUCGGUAAGGUGAUAUGAACCGUUAUAACCGGCGAUUUCCGAAUGGGGAAACCCAGUGUGUUUCGACACACUAUCAUUAACUGAAUCCAUAGGUUAAUGAGGCGAACCGGGGGAACUGAAACAUCUAAGUACCCCGAGGAAAAGAAAUCAACCGAGAUUCCCCCAGUAGCGGCGAGCGAACGGGGAGGAGCCCAGAGCCUGAAUCAGUGUGUGUGUUAGUGGAAGCGUCUGGAAAGGCGCGCGAUACAGGGUGACAGCCCCGUACACAAAAAUGCACAUGCUGUGAGCUCGAUGAGUAGGGCGGGACACGUGGUAUCCUGUCUGAAUAUGGGGGGACCAUCCUCCAAGGCUAAAUACUCCUGACUGACCGAUAGUGAACCAGUACCGUGAGGGAAAGGCGAAAAGAACCCCGGCGAGGGGAGUGAAAAAGAACCUGAAACCGUGUACGUACAAGCAGUGGGAGCACGCUUAGGCGUGUGACUGCGUACCUUUUGUAUAAUGGGUCAGCGACUUAUAUUCUGUAGCAAGGUUAACCGAAUAGGGGAGCCGAAGGGAAACCGAGUCUUAACUGGGCGUUAAGUUGCAGGGUAUAGACCCGAAACCCGGUGAUCUAGCCAUGGGCAGGUUGAAGGUUGGGUAACACUAACUGGAGGACCGAACCGACUAAUGUUGAAAAAUUAGCGGAUGACUUGUGGCUGGGGGUGAAAGGCCAAUCAAACCGGGAGAUAGCUGGUUCUCCCCGAAAGCUAUUUAGGUAGCGCCUCGUGAAUUCAUCUCCGGGGGUAGAGCACUGUUUCGGCAAGGGGGUCAUCCCGACUUACCAACCCGAUGCAAACUGCGAAUACCGGAGAAUGUUAUCACGGGAGACACACGGCGGGUGCUAACGUCCGUCGUGAAGAGGGAAACAACCCAGACCGCCAGCUAAGGUCCCAAAGUCAUGGUUAAGUGGGAAACGAUGUGGGAAGGCCCAGACAGCCAGGAUGUUGGCUUAGAAGCAGCCAUCAUUUAAAGAAAGCGUAAUAGCUCACUGGUCGAGUCGGCCUGCGCGGAAGAUGUAACGGGGCUAAACCAUGCACCGAAGCUGCGGCAGCGACGCUUAUGCGUUGUUGGGUAGGGGAGCGUUCUGUAAGCCUGUGAAGGUGUGCUGUGAGGCAUGCUGGAGGUAUCAGAAGUGCGAAUGCUGACAUAAGUAACGAUAAAGCGGGUGAAAAGCCCGCUCGCCGGAAGAGCAAGGGUUCCUGUCCAACGUUAAUCGGGGCAGGGUGAGUCGACCCCUAAGGCGAGGCCGAAAGGCGUAGUCGAUGGGAAACAGGUUAAUAUUCCUGUACUUGGUGUUACUGCGAAGGGGGGACGGAGAAGGCUAUGUUGGCCGGGCGACGGUUGUCCCGGUUUAAGCGUGUAGGCUGGUUUUCCAGGCAAAUCCGGAAAAUCAAGGCUGAGGCGUGAUGACGAGGCACUACGGUGCUGAAGCAACAAAUGCCCUGCUUCCAGGAAAAGCCUCUAAGCAUCAGGUAACAUCAAAUCGUACCCCAAACCGACACAGGUGGUCAGGUAGAGAAUACCAAGGCGCUUGAGAGAACUCGGGUGAAGGAACUAGGCAAAAUGGUGCCGUAACUUCGGGAGAAGGCACGCUGAUAUGUAGGUGAAGCGACUUGCUCGUGGAGCUGAAAUCAGUCGAAGAUACCAGCUGGCUGCAACUGUUUAUUAAAAACACAGCACUGUGCAAACAUGAAAGUGGACGUAUACGGUGUGACGCCUGCCCGGUGCCGGAAGGUUAAUUGAUGGGGUCAGCGCAAGCGAAGCUCUUGAUCGAAGCCCCGGUAAACGGCGGCCGUAACUAUAACGGUCCUAAGGUAGCGAAAUUCCUUGUCGGGUAAGUUCCGACCUGCACGAAUGGCGUAAUGAUGGCCAGGCUGUCUCCACCCGAGACUCAGUGAAAUUGAACUCGCUGUGAAGAUGCAGUGUACCCGCGGCAAGACGGAAAGACCCCGUGAACCUUUACUAUAGCUUGACACUGAACAUUGAGCCUUGAUGUGUAGGAUAGGUGGGAGGCUUAGAAGUGUGGACGCCAGUCUGCAUGGAGCCGACCUUGAAAUACCACCCUUUAAUGUUUGAUGUUCUAACGUUGACCCGUAAUCCGGGUUGCGGACAGUGUCUGGUGGGUAGUUUGACUGGGGCGGUCUCCUCCUAAAGAGUAACGGAGGAGCACGAAGGUUGGCUAAUCCUGGUCGGACAUCAGGAGGUUAGUGCAAUGGCAUAAGCCAGCUUGACUGCGAGCGUGACGGCGCGAGCAGGUGCGAAAGCAGGUCAUAGUGAUCCGGUGGUUCUGAAUGGAAGGGCCAUCGCUCAACGGAUAAAAGGUACUCCGGGGAUAACAGGCUGAUACCGCCCAAGAGUUCAUAUCGACGGCGGUGUUUGGCACCUCGAUGUCGGCUCAUCACAUCCUGGGGCUGAAGUAGGUCCCAAGGGUAUGGCUGUUCGCCAUUUAAAGUGGUACGCGAGCUGGGUUUAGAACGUCGUGAGACAGUUCGGUCCCUAUCUGCCGUGGGCGCUGGAGAACUGAGGGGGGCUGCUCCUAGUACGAGAGGACCGGAGUGGACGCAUCACUGGUGUUCGGGUUGUCAUGCCAAUGGCACUGCCCGGUAGCUAAAUGCGGAAGAGAUAAGUGCUGAAAGCAUCUAAGCACGAAACUUGCCCCGAGAUGAGUUCUCCCUGACCCUUUAAGGGUCCUGAAGGAACGUUGAAGACGACGACGUUGAUAGGCCGGGUGUGUAAGCGCAGCGAUGCGUUGAGCUAACCGGUACUAAUGAACCGUGAGGCUUAACCUUACAACGCCGAAGGUGUUU
rnacentral:rRNA from 1 species